rnacentral:lncRNA from 1 species
UAUCUGACGUAUGUGUACUUACGUUGACCGCUGUUGGGUGUUGUGUGGUGGAUGUUCUCUGGCUGUGUCGCGUACAAUAAGAACGGUAGAAGAGUUUCUGAACUCCGGUCGCCUCGGCAGUGCGCCAUUGGCCAGCAAAGUCGCGUUUUCCUAAACCCAUAGUUCAUACCGUGUCGUCUGGCAUGGACGUAGACCACUGUUGGGUGCUGUGUCGCGUACAUACAACAAGAACCGUGGAAGAAUUUCUGAACCCUGUCCGCCCCGCCAGUAGGCCAUUGGCCAGCAAAGGCACACAGCGAUCGGACUGAGCAUAUCAAGUAGCCCCUCCUGUGACCCACAAGACCACACUAAUUUGGCCAAGGAGCCUGUCUGGACUUAUGUUGGAACUGCUGGCAGACUGUUUUUUCUGGACUUAGGUUGGGACUGCUGGUGGACAGUUUCUGUUUUUUAUGGACUUAUGCUGGGACUGCUGGCAGACAGUUUCGGUUUCAGUCUUCAGCUGGUCCACAGUUCACUUUUAUCAUACUGCCUCAUUUCUUUUUAGUGUAUCUGCGGUCUCUAGACAUUUAGCCUGUGUUCUUACACGUUGAGAGUACUCUUAUGGUUUACAGCAUUGCUUUGCUUAUAAACUUAUGUGAUACUGCCUUGUU